rnacentral:misc_RNA from 1 species
GCUUGAGCAGUUAUAUAAUAAAUUUUAGAAUUUAUCUUUGAUCUGUGUAAAUCUUUGUAAUGUAAAACUGUUAUUUUUAUUUAAUGAAAUAUUCAAGUUUCUUUUUAUAUUUUUCAAAUAAUGAAUUGUUGAGAUUGAGACUGUUGAAAAUUGAGUUGAGUUGAAAAUAUUGGAGUUGGGGUUGAGAUAUAUAUAUUUGGAGUAUUUUCACAGGUUUUUG